rnacentral:rRNA from 1 species
AUUGAACGCUGGCGGCAGGCUUAACACAUGCAAGUCGAGCGGAGACUUCGGUCUUAGCGGCGAACGGGUGAGGAAUGCCUGGGAAUCUGCCUGUUAGUGGGGGAUAACGUUCCGAAAGGAACGCUAAUACCGCAUACGUCCUACGGGAGAAAGCAGGGGACCUUCGGGCCUUGCGCUAACAGAUGAGCCCAGGUCGGAUUAGCUAGUUGGUGGGGUAAAGGCUCACCAAGGCGACGAUCCGUAGCCGGUCUGAGAGGAUGAUCAGCCACACUGGAACUGAGACACGGUCCAGACUCCUACGGGAGGCAGCAGUGGGGAAUAUUGGACAAUGGGGGCGAACCCUGAUCCAGCCAUGCCGCGUGAGUGAAGAAGGCCCUCGGGUUGUAAAGCUCUUUUGUCCGGAAAGAAAGCAAUCGGUUAAUACCCGGUUGUCCUGACGGUACCGGAAGAAUAAGCACCGGCUAACUUCGUGCCAGCAGCCGCGGUAAGGUGCGCGAGU